UUGGGCAUGGUUUGGGAAUUAUGAGUUUGAUUCCCAGUUUUGCUAUUCAGGUUAUCUCAUACAAGUUAUUUCAUGCCAUUUAAUCUCAUAACUCAGUCACAAAUAGACAUCUCUGAAGUUGAGUCAUCUUUCCUGUGUUAAAUGGCUGUCUGGGUUAAGACCUUCAGGGGGAGGCAUUUUUCUGUAUUGACUGCAGAACUGAUGAGAUGAAUCCCUUUUUUCUGAGAAGGAAUUUAUACUGUUUUGUUUCUUGCUAUUCGCUCCUAUGCUAAAACAUUUACUUCUGUAGCCAGAACCAUAACUGACUAACUCAUAACAUUGGACUUCCUUGUACACUUUAUUCAGGUAAAUUUGUUAAAUCUUUGUAUAGCCCGUCAUUGAGAUUGAUGGGCAGAUCUGCAUUUAAGGUCAGGGAGAUGUAUCUUUGGGAACUAUGUGUAUAGCGAAAUGAAUUUGCAGAAAGAAAAGCUAUCCAGUUAACUACAAUGCUAGUGAUGGGGUUUCCAGCACUGAUAUUCUUUGAAGUUCUUCCUGCAGAGAUGUUGUGCAGGUGACUGAACACCUGUUUUCUCUUAUGAGAGGGUGGUAGGCAACAUCUCAGGGGGCUAGAAGGUAUUACAGCUUCACCUUACUAGGUAAAGCUUGCCUGUUUAUCAGCCUCACUUUCUCAGCCCAUCCAAGAGGUAAAGACCAAGUAUCAGGAAGAAGUUUGUAUUUCUGGAUUGCAAUCUUCAGGUACACAUAAUGUAUCACCAAUUAUUCUUCCACCAAAGCCAGUCUUUCACACAGAUAGAAAUAAAACUGCAGUCUACACACGCAUUCUGGAUUAAAUACUCAGUAUCCUCUCCUGGGAGAAUGAAAAGAAGAAUUUUUUUCCCCUAAAUUUAGUCUGCUAAGUAUAUUGUCCAUUCUAGUAGUCUACAAACUACUGAGAGGAGAAUGAUUAGCACUACAAGGAUAAUAUGUCAUAUUCUUGUGCCACAAGGAAGUCUUUCAUGAAGACUAAGUACAGAGUUAUAUCUCUACAUCAAUGACAGUGACAGAAAAUACAAAUGACCAUUUUAGAUUAAACAUGUUCUUUGAGAACAGCUGAUGUUAGGGGAGAUACAUCCUACUUUAAGCAGUCUUAACCCACACACAGUCUCCACAUUAUUCUCCACAGUUACAAAAUGUGGUUUUAAGCAUUCCUCUAAAAUGUAUUCCCUCAAAAAUGCUCUUGAUUUCAACAUUUCAAGCUCUUGCUGCCCAGGGCUCUCUAGUCUGGGAAAAGCAGUCCCAGCAGUUCUCACACAUCUGGGCAGAAUUCCUACGAUCAUUGUUCUUUCCAGUCAUUAUUGCAUGAGCUACUCUUCAGUUAUAUUCUGCCCUCGUGUAUCGCACAUAAACUUAGACAGUCCCACAUGUGCAUGCCAGUGCAGAACUGUUACUUUGGAAGAAGUAGGGGACAUAUAAGACAUACUAAUUAAUAAACAGAUUACUGAUUUGUGGCAUUAUUUUCAAUUAAGAGAAAUUUUGAAUGUGGUGACAGGGUUGUAGUUUGGCAUUUCCCUGCUUAAAUUCUAGAAUCCUAGCUCAUACGUGACAAUUAUACAGUAGCCUUGCUAUUCAAAUGAUUGGAACUUCAUUAUACUUGUAACAACAGCUUUCUGUAUAAUUUGGCACAACGUCAAAUCAGUAUACCAAAUGUAGCUGCAAUUUCAGGACGUUGAAGGCAAGGCAUUUUAAGACUCCCAGUACACAAACACCCCAAAAUUAACUACUACCACUUUUACUUUUUUUAUCUUUAUCAUUGUUUACAUCCCAAACUCCAUCAGGUAUCUCUUCCUUUAGAACAACUUGGUAUGUCUAGUAAAGAUGAGAAUUGAAUGGUCAUGGAUGCUUCCAAGAACACACUGGAAGUAUAUUGGUACUGAAGAAACCUUCCAUAGCAAUUCCAAGUGUUUUUACUAUUCCAAGAAUUUAUAAAGGACUUAAUGCCUGCUACUUCAGGCCUAUUUCUGAACACAACAUUCACUUUAAAUUAUGUGUAUGCCCACAAAUAUGUGUUUGUCUACUCAACAGAACUAUUGUCAUUACCUAGAAAGGGGUAAUGUAGUUCAGCAAAAAUAAGAAUUGUUCCUGAGCUCAAACAUUGAAAUUUGGAAGACAUAUACCUAAACACAUAACUAACAAUAGUAGAAGCAUUAAUAAAAAGAGUAAUACAACAUCUGAUGCAUCCAUUUGUUUAUUUUCAAUUAGGUAUCUGAAUACUGAAACAUACUAAUGACAUAUCUUCAUAUUGUUUCUGAGCUGUUUGAGGCAGAAAAUAUCUGGAAUAUAGAUGAUCUUUAAAGUUCUCAAACUAUUCUGCGAGUCUGUGUUAGAGUGAAUGUGUUACAGCAAAGUCAGUUUCACAAUGUAAACAUGAAGCCUUUUUUGUCAGAGGAAUGACAAGGUGGACAGAUGGAAUCAGUGGAAUAUGAAAAUAAGAUUUAUAUGAAAUGCCAAAUAUUGCUAUCCCAUUGCCUCUCAUCUCACUACAAACAUCUUUAACCUAUUUUCACUUACUGGCAUUUUGAAUAGUGCUUUCAGUAUUUGCAUAAGUCAGAUCAUGUGUGGUCUGUCUUGUUCUCAUUAACUGGAGGUCAGCAAGAACUUAGUGGAAGAGCUUACAAUUGAGUCUCAGAAUAAGAGAGAAGCUGUUGAGCAUUAGAGGAGAGAGUCUGAACAAAAAUGAGCAAGUUCUUAAAUAAAACAAGGAAUAUGAAAUAACAUUUUCUAAAGUCUCACAAGGGUGCUGCUUCUAGGAUGAAGAUAGAGUUCCUUGCACUCACUCCACUCCUCCAGGAAUAUCCUUUGCACCACUUGCCCCACCUUCCUGCACUUUAGCAGCUCCCUGAGGGUCUGGUAGGUUCUCAUAGAUCAGACAAUCUGUCUUUUUCCUUCCUUUUUUCUCCAGCUACUCACCACAAGAGGCACCCUAGUUCCCUCAUGCUUUUACAUCCUUCAGCAUAAUAUGCAUAUCAAUAGGUUAACAUGCUUUUGGAAGACAGUUAAAUAUGAGAUGAGAGAAUUGAAAUAAAUGAGCAUAUUAACAGCUGCUUAAAAUCUGUUUUGCCUUUGGACAGUGCUGAACCAAUUGAAAUUGGUAUCAGGACUAACUGCAUGAUAGAGCUCCAUGACUUCUUUGAUCAACUCAUUUGACUUUCAGCAAGAUCAUUUAGGUUCAUCCUACUGACAUCUAGAUUAUUUCCUGAGAUUUAAGAAUCAAUUCCACUUAAUGAAAUGUAGAGUUGUUAAGAAAUGGAGAUUUGGGUUGAACUGCAUUCAACCCAAAAUUUUAAAUUGAGGUUUUUAAUAGAAACCUCACAAAGACUGUUUAAGAUCCUGGCUGUCAUGAAGGAUCUUAGUAUAUUCUGCUAUAUGUUGAGUUUGCAGAAUCCUUCUCCCAUCUCUUCUUUUAAAACUAAGAAUCUAUAAUUAUAUCCAUUCUGAUUUCCCUAGGAUGACAGCUCAGCUCGAUUUCAGUGGAACCUUUCCAGCUGUCGAUGGCAGCAGCACCAGGCAAAGCCCCAUUUGGGCAGCCUGAAGGUACCAUUAGGAUCCUAAAAGUGUUUUGAAGGGACUUAUUCACUUCCCAGAAUGUGUGUAUGGCUUACCACCCCCUUCAGGUUCUGCUUCUAGUAGUACAAAAUGGUCAUCCACUUAGAAGCAUCUUCUACAAAGGUUUCUAUUCUUAUAAAUGAUCAAAACACACAGGAAAAAGCAGGGCUCCUAGAGCAGAGGGUUAUCUUAGCAGUACUAUGUCCCUGGUAUCACUUCAAAUAUCCUCAAAUCACCUUGAGAGUUCUGGGGGAAAAUUGCUUUGGUUUCACAAUCCACAAAAGGGUAUGAUAUUUCCCUUCCUCACAGUCACAUUAUGAGGAAUGUACUCUGGGAGUUUCAGUGGAAAGCAUUCCUAUAAAUGUUUCCACAAAAUUUAACUUAAUUAAACCUUUCUCAUACUAACAAAUUCUCUCAGCAUUGAACAGCAGAAAGAGUCUGAAUGCAGUUUCAGCUAUUGGCAAAACAAUACUGCAAAAAGGCAAGGUAUUCUAACUUUUUUGUCACUUUUAGCAAAAUAGGAAAAUGAGGAUGCUAAAUGCCCUGGCAAGUCUUUACGUCAGCUACUAUCUCUCUCUGACUGUAGCAGACAUACGCUUGUGACAUCAGGCGGGUAAGUGGGAUGACACUGUACUGAGUGACUGUUUCACUUGCUUUUCCUUCCCUUUUAACAGCUUCCUUAGUGAGGCAGCAGUGGACAAACGCAGAUAUGUGAACACAAGGUGACAGAUGCUCCUGCCAUUGGGUGCAGGGGAUUUCCUAUGAUCUCCCCUUUUCAAGGUGCAAAGAGGCACGCCAGCCUCAGAGAAGAGGGGAAGUGUGGUUUGCAAAUCAGAGAACCUGCUUCCUUCCUAAUGCCAUGCGUCAUCGCCUUGCGGGACUGUUACCGUAACCAAGCUCUGAGCGAGUCAGUCCUGCUGUCUAGCCACAAAAGCUUUAAAUACAAACACUGCUGAAGGCGGCUCCUGAGCACCACAGAUGUCUGCAAUCAGCUGUUGACUGACUACUGUGUCUGUCUGGUGGCCUGGCCUGUACUUCUGGUUGAUAGUUUACUUCAUAGAUAUCUAGGCUAUGAAGUAAUGCUACUGAGAAAGAGCAUAUAGACAUGGAGGUUGGUACCGUCUCACAGGAAUUUAGUAAUCUUUUUGCAGCACAGUCAGAGACAAGAGACGUGAAAUCAGCAGUAACAAUAUUUCCUGUGCUGAAACUGUGCCAGAGAAAUUUCUGAGAAGCCUCCAUCUGCUAUGUGACACACUGAACACCACGAGGAAGCUAAACCUCUUACCUCUUACCACAGCAAUGACCCUGCAGACAAUAUCUGAAACAGCAUGGUCUGAAUGUCUCCUGUGGAGCAGAUUGCCACUGAAAAGCAUUUUCUUUUAGAUGAACAUAGCUCCAUGGGAUGGCAGAAUCACUCCCUCCUUGCACCCUCUGAGCUGCCAGUGAACUUGAUUUGCACUGGGCAAUCUGAUAUCAGUCACAUUUUUCCUGAGAAGUUUUACUAGAUGAACUCGAAGAGUUGAAAUGGUGAGACAGAGUUCCCUAGAUGAAAAUUAUUUUUUCUACUGGACUUGGUCCUGGGCAACCUAUUUUGGAUGACAGUGCUUGAGCAGGGUGCUGGACCAGGUGGCUUCAGAGGUUCCUUCCAACCCAAACCAUUCCGUGUUUCUUUAGGAGAAAGCUGCCUCUCAAUACUUGCUUGUUCAUCAGCUGGUAAAAAAAAACAAAACAAAAACAAAAAGCAGAGCUAAAUCAAGGACUUUGGAGCACUGCUACUGGUAGUAGGCACAAAUGCUCCCAGUUAUUAAAACAGUGAGGCACAGCUGCUCUGUAUACUUGAAAGGUAGUUAAGAUGCUAACUUUGAAAAGUGAUACUAAUCGGAUGUUAACACAGAUGUAUCAGAUGAUUUGCUCACUGAAAAAUCAGAAUACUGAGACAAUUCAAAACAGAUUUUUGCUGGCCUAAAUACAAGUAGACAGGUUUGAAAAUCUUGGCCUGAAUACUGUCAAAUUGUGCAUGUUAAAGACUAUAUGAGAUACAAAACCAUUAAUGAUCUGUGCUGUCAUGAUUUCCAGAAAAUCCAAGUACAAAUAUAGCCUUAUAUCACACAUUUUAAUAUGUCUUAUUCUCUCCUUCUACAGCUGGGUCUCAUACAAACGCCAAGAAAUGAAGUACAGUAUGUACUGUACCUGUAGCUUAUGCAUCUAUUAUUUGUGCAGAUUUUUUCCAGGAGUAGAUCAUUUUGGGCAGGAAUUGGUUGCCAGCUAGGAAAGGAGUGGAGAAAAAGGAAAAUAAUGUCCCUUAGGGAGGGUGGUACUGGUAAGCAGAACAUUAUUGGUCUAUGCAGGCAGCGGGAUCGAGGUCUGGUGGAAUCACUGUCAUCUCUGAGCAUUUCAAUAGAGGAGAAAUGUUAUGGAAGCCACAAGUUCAGCAUGCAAUUAAGGUUAGGUAAAGGGAUUGAGUAAUUCUGCAAUAGUUACUGUUAUAUAAUCUUAAGACUGUGCCCAGGAACAGAGAUGUAACUUAACACUACAGCAGCAAUUCCUAACACUGUGACUGCCAAUGGUCAAUUGCCAUUUCCAUUAAAAACCUUGUUUUGCAGCUAAUUUACAACCCAGACACUUUAAUUCUCAGCAGGCUAAAAUUUGGCAUAGACACUUUUUUUUUUUCAUUUUGAAAGCUUGAGUUAAUAACAUAAUAAAAUCAUAUUUAUUGUUAUGACUAAUUUAGAUCUAGACCACUGGAAGCAGUACAAGGAGCUUAAUGGUUUUAUAUUUUAUUUUCUUCAUUUAAAAGGCAUUCAAUAUAUAUAUCAAAGGAUUCAUUGAACCAGUCACUGUAUUGGAAGCCUUCUCCUUUGCAGUCUACUUCCUAUCUAUCUAUUGUUCUACUUAAUAUGCAUUUAAUUUUCAUCCCCUUAAUUAAUAAUGAUACUGCUUCUUAAGUGUAGAUUCUCAAUAUCUAACAAUGGAAUAUUUGAGAUAAAAGGCUUUUUUUUAAUAAAAUUGAUUUUUUUUCUUUCUUGUCCUACAGAAUAUUUUCCAUGCAGUCUAUUUUGUUUUCUUGCAAAAACUCCCAGCAAGAUUUCUCUUAUUUAAUUGUCAUCUAGUGACAUAUUUUUAUGACAGUGCCAGUCAACUGUAGAAGUUCUAAGUAUGUAGAAAGAGUUAAUUUGAGUGUUCACUGAAUUUCCCUUUACAAUGCACUCUUGUUAUGAUUACCUUUAUUAUUUUAUUACUUCAGAUAUCUAGCCAACAGUAAAAAUAGGAUCUUUUCGGAACUUGGCAAUCUUUUGUAAAGCAAAAAAUAGAACCCAAUACACAACAGAAUAUUAGUUUAAGUUUUUCACAAUAAGGGUUGUGGAACAGGUUUGAUGCCCUGUCCUUGCAGACAUUCAAGGUUGGGCUGGAUGGGGCUCUGAGCAACCCAGUCUAGCUGUAGGUGUCCUUGUUCUUUGCAGGAGAGUUGGAAUAAUUACUUUUGAGAGUCUUUUCAAACUCAUUCAAUUUUAUGAUUCUAUGCAGAUGUCAGAACUGGAUACACUGUAUUUUAAUUCAGAUGGAUUAAAUCUAGCCUACAAUCCUAAGCAAAGCUGCAUGUUCACAGGGGGUGUCUAGGGUGUCCUGUACUCCACAUUUUGUGCCCAAAGGAAGGCUGUAAUUUGCUGUGGGCACAUGAUAUGUACUUCAUGAUAACAGAUCUCUCACAUUUUAAUAUUAUGGGAGCCUAAGUUUUAACCUCUCACCACCCCAAUUGCAUCGUUUGGGAAGAUCAGAUAUAGUUAAGGCACAGGCUUAGGGAUGCUAUGUGCUAUUCUGACAGUAGUCACAAACCUGGCCACAGGAAUUCAAAUCCAAGGAUAUGACUCAUUAAUUGCACUGUUUUGAAAAUCAGUGGAACUGUAUGGAAAUCACUUGAAAAGCAUGCAAAUUCAGAAACUCAUCUAAUUUCUUUACUGUAAAGAAAUUAGAGUUUUUCCUGUUCUUCAUAUUGAACAAUGCCUGGUUCUCAGAAAGUCUCUAUAGAUUCAGUAGCAUUUUUCUCAGAAGACUUGUGGGAUAGAUCUGUGUCUGACAGUGGAUAACUUACAAAUAAUUAUUCUGCAUACAUUUUGGCUGAGUUUUGGUGGCAUAUUUUAUUCUCAGUUUUAGCUCUUAUCCUUUAGAAUUAUUAAAUCCAAAAUGAGCUUAGUUAGAAUGACUGCUGACCAUCAUCAGAAUAUACAUGGGAAGACUAUGUGAAGCUGAAAGGUUAUCCAGAUGUCAGAUUAUGGACAUUCCAUGUUUAUAUGAGUUGCAUAAAUUUAUACUUAAUAUCUUCACAAGAAAGCAUGUUGAGGAUUAUUUGUAGGCUCAUUUACUUUGAAACAUGCUACUGCAACAGUGCUCUAGUAUAUCGCCAGUGCCUUUGCAAAAUGUUUUGUUAAUUAGAACUUUCAUACUGUAAUUAUUUAACCACUGUGCAUGUUUACUCUUAGUAUUCUGUGAACUUACAGAAUAAGAAAAUCAGGUAUUCAUAACAUAAGAAAGGGGCAUUGAGUGCUAGGUGCAAAUAGCAAGGGGAGAAGGAAAAUAAAAAGAGUUAGUCAAAAGCUGUUGUAAUUAUUCGGCCUCAGAAGAUAUUUCAUUUGUUUAGUGUUCCUAUUCCAAUGUAUUCUUAAAUUAUUGAGAUGGCUUCAUCAUUCAAGUGUCACUAAGAAAUUACAUGUUUUAUUUAGCAUUAUGGGUUUCAAAUCUGUCAGAAAGCCAACAUUUGUCAGGGACACUCCAUUUAAUAUUUCAAAUGUCUUUGUAGCUUAAUCCAUUCUCUGAAAUUGAGAACUUAGUCAGUGGUCCACUUAGUCUACUUUAUCUGUGACUGUUUGCUUGCAUGCUGCUAAAACUAAGACAGAGCUGAAGAGUCUUAUUGAAUUGUGAUUUGUUGUGGCUUGACAGUGUAUAUUUUAUUGAACUGCCUAGGACCAAAUUCAAGUUUUAGUGGUGUUUUUGGUCCUAUUUUGGGACCAGUGGUUUUAAUGUGCAUCCUUAAGAAAAAAAAUAUAAGCAAUUCCAAGUAUUUCAUGACAUUAAUAAUAAUAAUAAUAUUUCUCACAUCAAUCACAAAAAUAACAACAGCUCUUUUUUUAAAAUUUUCUAUGAUUUUGAAAUGAUUCAUUUCUUAGGGGUAGCAAAAUUGUUUUAGAAAGAAUGGGUAUCCAACAGCAUUCUGAGUUGCCUUCAUUUUGUUUUCUUUUGGUGUUUCACUUCUUGGUUUUAAUCUGCCUUAAAAAUGUCAGAAAAGGUUGAGUCAGAACAUAUUCCUGAGAUUUCCAAGUGACUAGAUGGAAGAACUAGAAAUCUCACCAAUGCCCAACUGAUUUUCUGGACUAACUCUUGCCAAUACUCACCCAAACCCAGCUGAAAUUCCAUCUGAAGUCUUUGAAGUUCUUCUGGAAAACUAAUUAAAAAGAAUGACAUGUUAAUCACUCAUUAACUCACAAGUCAUUACUUAAAACCUCAUACUGUCACUUGGUUGAACUGUCAAUAGAGCAAUUUCCAUUUUCCUUGACGUUAGUGUUUUGACAUUUGGGAUUCUCAGAACCCAACAUCAAGAUCUAAAUAUUAAUGACUGUUUUGAUUUUUUUUUUCUCGCUUGAUGAAAUAGUCCUGUAAUUUUUCAUUAAUUGACUCCAUGAUGUUCAGACUUCAAGCAAUCUGAGUUCAACAAUUGCACAUAAGAACUAUCUUUGACUGUGCAAUGUUGGAACAUCAAGGGCUUUUAGAAGAUGGACACAGCACAGAAGCAAAACCAGUAUGGUGUUUUGUUGCCUUGAUCCAACCCUUUAAUUACUGGCUUCAUUUAGUGCCAAGCUGCCCAAAGAAAUGAGAGGGACACUGUUAUGAAGAAUUGUAAGGUUCUGUUUCGUUUUUAAGACACGUUAUCCAGUACCACUCAAAUGUGAGAGUCAAGAGCAGCUGAAGAGGGUACAAGGGUGAAUCAUCAGACAAACUUGUCAGCCUUCUUGCCAAUCACAAGAAUUCCUCUGAGGUCAGACGCUGAAACCCUCCAUGUGUAUCAACAGCUACAGGGAGACCCAACAGCAUACAGGCACAGGAAGGACCUGCAAAUUGCACACGAUUCUUUUUGAGACCUGUCACUACCUUCCCAGACAAAAUGCCACCUAAGCUCUGUGGAAGACAGAAAUAUAGAAGGUAGUCUGCAACUGGUGGCAGCAGUUGUUAGAUGCAGCAUCUUUAAUACAAAACACUGAAGAGAGCAGGAAUGCUGAGCAGAUGUGAUAGUGGUUUUCAAAACAUGGGAAGUUAUAGAAAAAGCAUGUGAGCUCUUAUAUUUAACCUUUUUUCAUUAAACAAGAAAGAUUGAGAUCCAAUGAAAUGGAAAGGCAGUAAAUGUGAAACAAAUGGAAAUAUUCUGAGAGAUCCUGAUUAACUUGAGGAACUCACUGUCACUAGAUAUCACUUAAACCCAGGCAAAUUAGGAAAAAAAAUGUGAAAACACAACGGUUCUCAUUUCUUGCUCCAGGGAGACCCCAUCCUGCAGAGUGCAUUCACUCCCUUUGCUAUUUGAACAGCAAAUAGGUUAAUAGGUUCCUGGUAAUAUAAAGCAGUAAGGUCAUGCCUGUAGAAUGUGAUCUUCAAGUAGGAUUUAAACCACACUUUAAAAAUUGUUAUGAAAAUGGCAAAAUUAUCUGUGACAACUCUUUUCAGCACUUUUCUAUCAAACGUUCGCUAGAAAUAGCUGUUGGAAACAUUACUCUGAUUUCCUAGAACAGCCCUUGUCUUCCUCUGCUAUUGGAUUUCAGGUAGAGGAGGAUUGCUUAUGCUGCCGUUACAUGAGUCUAGAAGAUUAAAAGACUGGGAACUGCACAGACAUUUACUAAAAUCUUAAGAAAAACAAGAGCUGAAAUCAAAGUUUAAUGUUCCAGCUGUCUGCAGAUUGAAGAAUAAAGUAAAAAUUUAAAUGAGCUCACCAAAAAUAAUGAAGUCUGGCUAAAAACCAUCUGGGCAAGAACAGAGCUUAAAAUCUGGAGUUACUCGGAGUACUGAGUCUGAUUCCAGUAAAGCUUCAUUAUGAUUCCAGCAAAAAUUCAAUUUCCCUGCUGUUGUUUUCUCUGGGAACUACUUUUUAAAGCUAGUUGUAUCAUGCCACCCCUUCCAGAAAAUAGUUUGAAGUGGAUAUAAAUAAGAAUAAGAUUUUGGCCACCAUUCUCCCUUUUGAAUGUACUGAUGAUUGUUGUAGGCUUUAUAAACAUAAGAAACUGUUGAUGAUCCAAAACUCUUAUCAAGGGGAAUGAAAAUAAGGACUAUUGUCUAAAAACUGUUCUAAAUAUACCAGAUUGAAAAACUGGACUAGAGUGAGUUCUUUUCAGUCAAAUCUGGGCCUUCAGAACACAAGUAAGUAGACAUUUCCCUAAAUUAGGUACAUGCUUCUUCGGGAAGUUGCAGAAACUUCUUACUAGAGGUUCCUGCUCCAUUAGGAAGGACUUCUAUUAGUAUGUUGCAAAUGAAAUGGAGCCUUUAAAAAACAAUAUUACAGCAGAUGCAAAGAAAGCACAGAUAACUUAUCAGAAAUGUAAUUUAUGAAAAAGUGUACAAGAACAACAGAGACAAAGUUGAAUGCCAAACCCGCGUGGUCCUGAAAAUUUUCAGAUACAUCAGAGGUACUUAGAAAUAUACUGCAUAUAAAACCUCAGAUUCAUCUGUAAGGCAAGUUGAUGCAAAUGGCAUUUCUAGCAAGUAGAUCCCUUAACUACAAGUGAGAAACAGAUUAGUCUCAAGAAAGGAAUUCAUUUUUUAUGUCCACAAUGCAAGAAACUGAAAAAAUAGCUCCCAAUAAAUGCAAAUCAAUAUAGUAUUCAAUAAGGUUUCAAGAUGAUGUGAAGGGUUCCAAUAAAUAAUGAAUAGUUCAGCAUAUAUAAAACAACAUUAAACAGAAAAGCAAGAAAACGAGAGGGGAAAUCCUUCCUUAUAAUGUUAAGAUUUCAUGGUCAAUGGAAUGUGUAAUAAAUCUUUCAGUAAUAAUGGUCAGUGAAGAUUUUAUGAAAAAGCAUUUGACAUGUUGUUGGUCAAAUGACAAAGUCCACGAACAGAGAAUGUAGGAAGAGAUAUGCUUGAGCUACGUUAAGAGGAGAAAGUUGUUACAGUUUCUUAAAACAAAUUUGCAAAAACAAAUAAAGGGUGGAAAGAAACACAUUGGAAAAGAAGAAAACUCUAUACAAGAAACUUACUUUGAAAUAUGGAAUUAUUGUGACUGUCACAGAAUCAAAGAAAAGGUGACAUGGAAUUAUUGCAUAACCAGUGCAACAGUGGGAUUUGUCAUUCUGAAAGCAUACUCAGAUAUGAGCUGACUAGAGAACUAAUUCCAAACUAAAUGAAUGACUAGUGCAACAUAAAAGACUAUGAGAAUGAAUCACUUCUGAUAAAUCACCAGUGCAUGUUGUUGAUAGAUUAGACCAUAUGUUCACUCAAAGGAAAAACAUUGCCCAGAACUAUUUAAAUUGCUACCAUUACAUCAACCCUGAAUUAUAAAAAAAGCCAAGUAUUUUUUACAGAUAAGGUCAUUCUUAAUUCAGCAGAAUAAAAUGGAUUACACAAAAGCAUUAUUGCAACACAAAACAGGUUUUUUAUAGUCCAACCCCCCAGGUCUUGGUAUAUUAGCAAGUGUUUACUGAAUGCAAUCACAGAACAAAGAUGUGAGCAGUAGAUUUGCCAAGAAGCAUCCAAUUGAAAUUGCUAUCAAACUUGGAGAUGGCCUUGAAUCAAGAGCUGGAAAAUUGAAAAUAAAUAUGUAUAUAUAAACAGAAAAUAUCAUUGUUAAAAGAAAACAUAAUGCACUUGAUUAGAUCCACUGCAUAAUGCACUUGAUUAGAUCCACUGAAAUAAAAUUCAAGAAUGUAAAAAAAAAUUCACAAAAACAUUAAAAAGUAUAGGUUGCUUUUACCCAUAUAUUUUGAUAUUUUAGAGGAAGGGAUGCUGUUUUGGAGAAAGAGGCAAUAAUUUGGAAAAAAAAUCAAAUGAUGCUACACUCGAGUGCAUUAUAGAUGAAUUUUUUUCAAUGUGACUUUUUGCACAUUUUCAACAGAGAAAUGAAAUUUUCAGCUUCAUUAAAAUGAAGAUCUACAGAGUUUGUAUUAUUGUCUGUGGGACAGAUGAGAAAGACUGGAAUCUUUACAAGUUUCUUUGCUGUACCAAUAAGCUCUACGGACAGUGGACUAUACAACUGGUAAUGAAAACAGUCAUAGCCAAUGAUGUUUUAAACCUUAUUUGUAUUUUCCUUCAAAUAUUUUCUUAAUUAUUAGAACAUAAAUUAUAUAUUGAAAAGGUAGCUUUCAUCUAUUAAAAAUAAAAUAUAAAAAUGAUUUUGGUAGGAAGAAAUGUAAAAGAAUUUUGGAGGUAAUUUCAGGAACUAUGAAGGCAAAUAUUUCAUACAAAGUUAUGAGGAAGUUAAAUGGGUCAUUUAAGCCCUAGGAAAUUGGGAACAACUUUACAACUUAUUUUCCAUGAAAUACUCAAGGAGCACUAGCAGAUAUGUGGGAGGUACAUUCUGUUCCCAAAAUACUCUGUUCCCAAAUUUCAGGAAGUCAGAUAAUCUCUGUGAUUAUUUCUUCUCCCAUUUUUUGCCUGCAUUCUGAAUAUGGAUCAUAUACCCUGAGGCAGGACUUGAUCCUUGUGAAUUUAUACAACAUCUGUCAUGGAAAAGCCCCAGUAUAAAAUGCUGUCUAAGAAUAUGAGUAAUAAAGAGUGAUAAAAACACGUUUUAACACAUACUUCUUUCACAUGAUAAAGGCCAAGUAUUGAAGUCCAAAUAUGAAGAUAAUAUAUUUCUGUUGGCUAGUAUUAGAGUGCAGUUGUCUUCGUGACAUAUUUCCAAAGUCUGCAUAGGGAGGAUCUUGGAGCUAUUGUAAAAAAUAGCCAAUAUCUUAGUAAGUGGCUCAGUGGAAACUCCUUUAUUUGUAAAAAGCAGAUAUGAAUCUCAAAAUCCAUUUGAUGUGCCAUUUUGGCUUUUCUGCUAAGUUUAGCUGAAGCCAGUCCAGAAAAGACAAGAGAGAUCAUAGAUAGUACUUCUAGCUGUCUUUCUUAAAGACGGAAGAGCAAAAAGUAAAUUCUGACAGCAAUAAAUAUUUAUAUUUGUAUACUUGUUUGUUUGUUCCAGAGGUGCUACUCAAUGUAUCCAUAUCUCAUCAGAAAAAUACAUUAAUAAUACAAUUUUUAAAAAAGCCUCUUAGGGAAAGAAAAUAUUUUUUCCCUCUCAGUAAGAGAUUUUCUCUGAGGCCAGCAAGCAAGCCAACUUACUUCUUUGGAUGGACAAGUGUGAAAAUUUUCUUGGGAGGCAAAAAGGGAUCUUCUUCAAACUGAAGGUGCUACUGAAGCGUAGUGGAUGUUCUUAUGAAAGACUGUUCUCCUAAGAAAUCCAGUUUGUUUGGAAUUUGUUGAUGGAAACUGUGGCCAGCUAAACAGCAAUCUCCUGAUGUUACUUUUCUGUCAAAAUAAACAAAAGUUAUUUCCCAUGAUGAAAUCAACAGAUAAGAAAAGAUGAGCCAUACACAAGAGCUGUGCUCUGCAGCUGGAUUUGCUUCCAAGUCUGAAUCUGAAGGUGGGAUAUGAACUCUGGAUAUUUUUAGCCACAAAAUAUGUGAACCGCAAAAGUAUGUAAACUACACACAUAUAUUUGCCUGUUCCUUUCAAAGGAAUUCUCUUCAUUGCAUUAAAAAAAAUAUUGCCCACAGAAAGUUGGCAGAGCAGUAGCCCAAGUCCCAGCAGAUGCUUAUGGAAUGUUCCUGACUGCUUCGCAUGCUAAAAUGUUCAGCUUUAUAAAUAGUGUUAAGGUAUUAAACUCUAGUUUUACAAAUAAAAAUAAUAAUAAUAAAACCUGAAUAUAUUCCCUAAAAGCACAUGUAGUAUGGAUGAUAUACAAUAUGCUAAUAAACCAGCCCUUCCCUAAAUGCUAUUGUGCUGCUUUGAAAAUGCAACAAUUUGACAGCAUCUGUGUAUGGAAGGUACUUUCUAGCACUGAAUAAAUUGUGAACCCUAUGCCUAUCCAUUUUGAAACUACUCGUAACCAAAUGUUCACCAGACUGGGCCCAACUGGGUCAAACAGAACUAUUUGCUAAUUAAAGUAAUACUUAAGGGCAGUGCGGUUGAAGCAGUUCAGUGUUUAUUCAUCAUCAAUUUCAUAUCUGAGUGUGGGUCUAGUUUCAGAUAAGCAAUUAGAUGAACACUAGGCUUCUAGCUAGUGUAUAAACACACAUUGUAUUUUAGCUAAGUUUCUGUGCCUUGUUUUUCCUAUUAGCUAAUUUUAAUUACUACUUUCCUGACACCUAAUUUAAGCUCUCAAGGUGUACAGUUCUCCUAGACAUGAAGACUAAAGAAGAAUUUUAGUCUGUCUAACACAAAAGAUCAACUUUAAGUAGGUAAUCAAAUGAAAUUUUAGAAUACACUUAAUCAUGUCAUUACAUAUCUUUCUGAAAAGACAAUCCCUAUUUUAUUAAAAAUUACAUAUACAACUAAGACAAUUUUUCAUUCUUUUAACAUAUUUCAUCUGGAAAUCUAAAAAUGUGUCCUAAGAGUGUGAACUAAGCUAAUAAAUAUUCCUCUGAUAUGAGUAACUGUUAACUCAAUGAAUAAUUCUUGGCAGAGACUACAUUACUUUCACCAUCUCUUUCAGUAGUGACUGAAUCUGUAUUUUCUCAAAUUAGUUAUUUGAAGCUAUUCUACCUUUGAUUUAAAUUGGGUUAACCUUUAUCACCUCACUCAGUAGUCUAGAUUCUAAUUAAAUACAGCUGCUUCCUGAAUUAAAUGAUUUGCUGGUAUCAUGUGAUAUUUCUGUACCUCAGUGAAAUGAAGGUCUGUCAUUAGCAAUUGUCAGCCGUGAAUGUUCAUCCUCUUUCAAAGGCUUUUUUUUUUUUUUUUGCUCAUCUCUCCUUCCCCUUUAUUCACCAUUUGUAUGUCACCAUUUGUACAGAUUUACCUAUUAACUUUCAGUUAACAAAUCUGCUUCAGAAAAUGUCUUUUUCCUUCUUCAUCUUCUUUCAGUCUGGCAUUCUGUGUUUUUUUCUUCUUUUUUUUCAGACAUUGCAUCCUGAAUGGCUGAAGGUCAACUCAAGUGUAGUCUAACCAAAACCAGUCCUUUUCAUCUUACCUCCAAAACCCUUUCCACUCCCAUUUUCUAUGGUUGCCAAGAAUGCCAUUCUACUUGUUAUCCAAAAGGACAAUUUUUGAUUCUUCUUUGCCUUCUUUCCUCCAACUCUAAGUGAACAAACACACAGAAAUUUUGUCCAUCUUUGCACAGGACCCAAAUAGCUUUUCUUGAAAUUCAGAAGUUUAUAUAGCUCUGUCCUGACUAAAUUUUGAAGGCACUUCCUUUAAUCUUGUGCUUGCCACUGUAAUAAUGAUACCAAUAAAAGUGGAAUCAAUAAAGAGAAAUUCCAAACCUAUCUUCAUAAUUUCUUCUAUUGUUAUCAUAAUCUUUCACGUAUUAAGUAUUUGUA